rnacentral:lncRNA from 1 species
CUGGCUCCAACCCUAUGGGGUGUCUGUUUUAAACUGAAAUGACUACAACUCUUAUGAGCUCAUUGGCCUUUCUCAGUGUUUGAGGGACAGAGCACUGCUUGUUAGUGUCCCACAUCUACCGAAGAAGGUAAUUGUUUUUCAGGAUGGAUAAGCCCUGGCCUCACACAGGCCUAAUGAAAAAGUGCUAAGCAGCAAAGCACAGGGUUUCUGAAACAAGGGUUUCAGGCUUUCAAGUAGGUGCUAAGAUGUGUAGAGAUUGAGGAGAAUAGGGAGGAAGUCGAAGGCAAUUCACGGGUGAGAUAGAUAACAGCUUUUGCAGUGCAGGCUUUGGGAAUAACACUGUUCCCCAAAUCUCUAUAUCCUAAGCCCCAGAAUUUGUGACUAUGUUAUUUCAAGGGAGAAAAAAAAACUUAAAGAAUACUGGUGUAUGAUCUUAAGGACUUCUAACACACACACACACACACACACACACACACACACACACACAUACACACACACACACAUACAUACACACACACACACACACACACACACACGAAAUAAUAUAUUUAGCAAUCUUUAAGGAGGUGUUUCUCUAAUAAACAUGUUUAAGUGUUUCAGAAGUCAUGAAGCACACAGUAGACCUUAAAACAGACUGUGUACCUGAGGCUAGAGUGGAGAUGAGAACAUGACAUCACACAUAAUCACAAGGAUAAAACAGGAGAACACUGUCAGCUCCCAGGGAGUCCAGUCACCUCAAUACAUAGACUAGAUCAUCAUUUCAAAAGCAGACAUGAAUCUGCCAAAGAACUCGGUAACUCACAGAGAGUAUUUAGCUUUUUAGGGGGCGUUAAAGACCAGGAUUUGAAACAAGUCCUACGUUAUAAUACUUUUUUUUCCAGCAAAGAAUAAUCAUCUUUGUAUAAAGUAAAUAGACUGUACCUGUAAAGGAAUUUUUUUUAGAUAUUGUUAUUGGGCUAAAAUGACUUGGUGCUAGAGGCUGUUGAUGCCAAUGAUCCUGGUGACCUAAAUUUAAUCUCUGGGACCCAUGUGGUACAAGGAGAGAACUGAUUCCCCUUCGUUUCCUUUAGAUAUUGAUGUGCAUACCCAUGCCACAUGCAUUAUACCCCCUGGCAGCCACACACUAAAUAAAAUUAAAGUUUAAAAGAUGUCACGCUAGGUUAUUUUUAGUUGAGUACCUCGUUUUCAUCAACGCAGAUGAUCUCCCAAGUUUGAAAUUAUGUGUGCUGUGUUAGAGAGUAACCCUAUGUCUCUGAACACUAAGAUGGAAUCCUGUACCCAUCCAUCUUCCUGUCUUUGACUCAGCCCUGAUGUCUCCAGUUAGACUGUUAGUGCUUGAAACCCAGUCAUCCUCCCACAUGUUGUUGAAGUCGUGGCUUCAUGGAACGCUUCCUAGGAACUUACACAAAGCAGCCGAUACCUCUGCUGCCUCAGCAACAGUCCUGGAAGGGGAGAGCGUGGGUGGGCACACUGUGACACCUCCUGACAAGAGAGAAGUAAACAGAAAUGCUGCCUCCCUCUCUAAGGUAAUUAAUUCACCUCUGCAUUGUGCCUGCCAGCUUUCAAUCUAGGUUUAUUUUGUAUCCAUAGACUGAGGUUUUGUUUUUAGUACUUCCCUGUGUGCAUCGAUGGUAGAGAAUCCCUCCUCUGUAUACACAGAACCAAGUCAGAUAUAAAUACUGAUGGCAACCUGGGAUAUUCAUUCAAAUAAGAUAAACCAAGAUUGGAUUUUGUGAUUUGACACUUGAUACCAUGUAACAACAGCAGCAUGAGGUUAAAGUAUCUUGGCAUGCUCAGGGCUAUCACUUCCUUGUUAUUGUGCUUCUCAAAUAAAAAUAAAUCAGGAUUAAGAAAGUGUAGAUUAAAUACCAAAGGCAAAGUUGGUGAACACACUAUAAGUCUUUCACCAAGUUUAUCCUCUCUAUACAUGAAACAAGGAAACCAAUGUUCACUUUUUAUGUCAUAUGCUUUUAUGUUUUGUUUUUUCAUUGGAUAUUUUCUUAAUUUACAUUUCAAAUGUUAUUCUCUUUCCUGGUUUCCCCUCUG